AACCCCCUGAUUCAUCCUCUCACUUUGGCCGGUCAGAGAUGAAAUCAGGGGGCGCAAACUGCCUUGCUGGCAGAAAGGAUUAUAGCAAAUGCGUACCCUAUUGCAAUACAGCCCGGCCAAUAAG
rnacentral:ncRNA from 1 species